CGCUCUGGAUUCUCCUUCAAAUUACGCAUUAAUCUUUCGCCUUUUACUAAAGAUUACCGUGGAGGAGAACAACCGAAGGAUUCUUACAACCAAUUUUUCGUCGCCCCGCCUUCUGGCGGGGCU